AGUGAACGCUGGCGGUAGGCCUAACACAUGCAAGUCGAACGGCAGCACAGUAAGAGCUUGCUCUUACGGGUGGCGAGUGGCGGACGGGUGAGGAAUACAUCGGAAUCUACUUUUUCGUGGGGGAUAACGUAGGGAAACUUACGCUAAUACCGCAUACGACCUACGGGUGAAAGCAGGGGAUCUUCGGACCUUGCGCGAUUGAAUGAGCCGAUGUCGGAUUAGCUAGUUGGCGGGGUAAAGGCCCACCAAGGCGACGAUCCGUAGCUGAUCUGAGAGGAUGAUCAGCCACACUGGAACUGAGACACGGUCCAGACUCCUACGGGAGGCAGCAGUGGGGAAUAUUGGACAAUGGGCGCAAGCCUGAUCCAGCCAUACCGCGUGGGUGAAGAAGGCCUUCGGGUUGUAAAGCCCUUUUGUUGGGAAAGAAAAGCAGCAGGUUAAUACCCCGCUGUUCUGACGGUACCAAAAGAAUAAGCACCGGCUAACUUCGUG
rnacentral:rRNA from 1 species